AACCUAGCACACCUGCGGUGUGUACCUGCGGAGGGAUCAUUACAGAGUUGCAAAACUCCCUAAACCAUUGUGAACGUUACCUAAACCGUUGCUUCGGCGGGCGGCGCGCCCUCGCGCGCGCCCCUGGGCCCCACCGCGGGCGCCCGCCGGAGGUCACCAAACUCUUGAUAUUAAUUGGCCUCUCUGAGUCUUCUGUACUGAAUAAGUCAAAACUUUUAACAACGGAUCUCAGAUCGGAAG
rnacentral:misc_RNA from 1 species